rnacentral:rRNA from 1 species
AUUGAACGCUGGCGGCAGGCCUAACACAUGCAAGUCGAGCGGAUGAAGGGAGCUUGCUCCUGGAUUCAGCGGCGGACGGGUGAGUAAUGCCUAGGAAUCUGCCUGGUAGUGGGGGAUAACGUCCGGAAACGGGCGCUAAUACCGCAUACGUCCUGAGGGAGAAAGUGGGGGAUCUUCGGACCUCACGCUAUCAGAUGAGCCUAGGUCGGAUUAGCUAGUUGGUGGGGUAAAGGCCUACCAAGGCGACGAUCCGUAACUGGUCUGAGAGGAUGAUCAGUCACACUGGAACUGAGACACGGUCCAGGCUCCUACGGUAGGCAGCAGUGGGGAAUAUUGGACAAUGGGCGAAAGCCUGAUCCAGCCAUGCCGCGUGUGUGAAGAAGGUCUUCGGAUUGUAAAGCACUUUAAGUUGGGAGGAAGGGCAGUAAGUUAAUACCUUGCUGUUUUGACGUUACCAACAGAAUAAGCACCGGCUAACUUCGUG